CAAAAAAAAAAAGUUACUUGUUUCCACUACCCCGACCGACCCUAUUUUUUUGCCGCCGACCCUACAUUUUUUUUGGACAAAAAAAAAUUGUCGAUAGUCACUUUCUCUUUCCGAGUAUUACCAUUCCUUUCCUCUUAUUAACUAUCUUUGCGCGCUUUAAUAUUACUAUCGGCGAGACGCUUUACCAGUAGAGUAAAGCGUUUAUCGAUAUGAAACAUGGCUACGAGUAUUUUGAACAUUACAAUUGCAAAAUGUAAACAUUUCGCAGGGGUUAGAAAGAUAUGUACAUUUCCGAACAAUGCCUUGAUAUCUGAUAUUUUCUUUGAAUUACAUGGAUCAGUCAACAGUGCCGAUUUAAAAAAUAAAAUAGACAAUUUAAGUUUGUCGGUAGUCGGUUCAACAUCCCCUUCGUGUAUAGAUUUCAAAGAUUUACCGGAGGUCGACAGUUGUGCAGUUUGGAUUAAGAUCUCUUUUUCUCAGAUGCAAAGAAGAGCCAACUCUCCUAGAAAGUGUUGCCAUCGCAGCAGAAGCAGCAACACACAAGGCAGCAAAUGCAUUUGAACUGCUGAUGGGAAAAGGGAGAGUGUUUCCUUAUAAAAAAUCUACAAGUUCUGGGGUAAAAUCUGGCACUGUGAAUGCAAAAGAUGUUUUGUACAACAAACUGGUAGACUUGUUUGUGACAAUGUGACCAAUCAAGAUGAUAACAUGGAUGUUGAACAGAGUGUUUCUGAUGUGACUGAAUCUGAAGCACCAUUUCCACUUACAGCCCAGACAGCACGAGGGAUAGUUAAUUGUGUGGAGUGGUGAAAAACCUAGAGUUUAUUAUUGUAAAACCAAAUUGUCUAGUCGUCAAAAUUUAGUUCUGAUAACAGCUAUUUCUGAAAAUGAUUACACAUGUGGAUCUCCUCUUUCUGGACAUGAACUGCUGAAAAAUGUUUAUAUUAAGACUGCUGUUAAUUGUGGCAGUCAAGUGGAGUUUCCAUACUAUAGCAGUGACUAUAGGUUUAAUGUGUGCGCAUACUGUGGAGAUAGUGAUGCAUCUGUUGAUACAGAACUGAAAAAACAUUAUAGAACAGUCCUUCCCAUUUGUGCCAAUUGUAAAAAUGGUGGAAAAGUGUCUGUGACAAAGAGACCUUAUGGAAAAGAGUAGUGACUGUUUUUUUAUUAUAAAAAUUGAGGGACAGUGGUUGGACGAAAAAAAUCAUAACAUGCACAAUUAUUAAAUGUUUAUUCUGGAACAAUAUAAAUGCAAAAAUAAACAUAUAUAUAUAUGUAUGUAAUAAAUUUUAUAUUGAAAAGUAUUUUUUUUUUUCAACAGCAUGCCACAGUAUCUUGACACUAAACAGCUAAAUACCAAACACUCUAGCAUUUUACUGCAGUCUAAACUUACUUCUAAGUGUCAUUUAUUAUAUCAUUUCUUUACUUACAUAUUCAUGAAGUCAAGUUUCACAAAAAAAAAAAAAAAAAAAAAAAAAAAAUUUCCUACCUACCGACCCUAUUU